rnacentral:rRNA from 1 species
UGCGGACUAAUGAUGGUACCGUAAGAAUAAGGAUCGGCUAACUCCGUGCCAGCAGCCGCGGUAAUACGGAGGAUCCAAGCGUUAUCCGGAUUUAUUGGGUUUAAAGGGUGCGUAGGUGGGUUAUUAAGUCAGUGGUGAAAGCCUGCAGCUUAACUGCAGAACUGCCAUUGAUACUGAUAAUCUUGAGUACAGUUGAGGUGGGCGGAAUGUGUCAUGUAGCGGUGAAAUGCUUAGAUAUGACACAGAACACCGAUUGCGAAGGCAGCUCGCUAAACUGUAACUGACACUGAGGCACGAAAGCGUGGGUAGCAAACAGGAUUAGAUACCCUGGUAGUCCACGCCCUAAACGAUGAUCACUCGAUGUGUGCGAUAUACUGUACGCGUCUAAGCGAAAGCAUUAAGUGAUCCACCUGGGGAGUACGGUCGCAAGAUUGAAACUCAAAGGAAUUGACGGGGGCCCGCACAAGCGGAGGAGCAUGUGGUUUAAUUCGAUGAUACGCGAGGAACCUUACCUGGGCUUGAAAGUUAGUGACGUUCCGAGAAAUCGGAAUUCCCGCAAGGGCACGAAACUAGGUGCUGCAUGGCUGUCGUCAGCUCGUGCCGUGAGGUGUUGGGUUAAGUCCCGUAACGAGCGCAACCCCUAUCAUUAGUUGCCAACAGGUUAAGCUGGGGACUCUAAUGAGACUGCCCGCGCAAGCGGUGAGGAAGGCGGGGAUGACGUCAAGUCAGCACGGCCCUUACGUCCAGGGCUACACACGUGCUACAAUGGCCGGUACAGAAGGAUGCUACUUGGUGACAAGAUGCAAAUCUCCAAAACCGGUCUCAGUUCGGAUCGAAGUCUGCAACUCGACUUCGUGAAGCUGGAUUCGCUAGUAAUCGCGUAUCAGCAAUGACGCGGUGAAUACGUCCCCGGACCUAUCGUGACUGGGAAACAGAUCGGAAGAGCACACGUCUGAACUCCA